GAGAUUUAUGAUGAGAAAUUAAUUUUUCCCAUACACCCAGUUACAUGUUUUAAGAUAUGUUAUAACCCCAUUAUUUAAAAAAAAAAGACGGUAUGUAUAACAGUGAUAAAUUUAGGCCCGCUUUUAUUUUAUUUAUAAAAAUAAUAUAUCUGACACCCUUUACUCUUGUUUCUAGUCACCACCGUAGCAUCAUAGUCAUCGACAUCACCACCAUUGGCCAUAACAAACACCCAUAACGGAUUGGACAGAUUAUGGCGUCGAGAAGACCGGACACGCCACCCUUCGGAAUCGAGGGGUCCCUACUCUAUAUAUAUUAUUAUUCUACUUAUGUAAAUACUCUACCUAUGAUUGAAUUGAAUAUACACUAACCUGUGUA